AGCUCCUGGAGCACCACACGUGCCCUGCUUUUUGGGGAGCAUUUGGCAGCACCCCUCUUCAUCAGUCCCUGCGGUGCUAUCCCAAACCCGCUGGGACUGAAGAAUUCUAUCCUUCCACAGAAACCACACACACCAUCUGAAGCCUAAGGAGUGUCCUCAGCUUCCCCAGCACUCUGCAGGAGUGCAUUUCCAGCUCGUGCAUUCUGGAGAGGCCAAGCCAGCUGCCACAAAGUGUGUUACAAAGACAUGCAAGGACAAGAGCAGCAACAAGGAGCCAUCAUAAAAUUAUCUCACAGAGCUGCUCUUCAGUCAUGGUUGUGGUAAUGAACCAAGUAUUUAAGAAAAGGUUUGGUCCAGAGAGCUGAAAGGACCAGGAGCAGAGCAUAUGUGAUCACCAGCAGGAGCAAGUGUGCCACCAGCACAGUGAUGUGUGGGAGCUGUGGGACCCGGCCUUGGCCUGAGAGCAGCAAAGCACAGCUCAGCACAGGCAGAAGGAGCUCCACUGACAAAGCGCUAAUCAAACAGAGGGACUGGUGUGAGGAAUGCAGCAUGAGCAGAGAGGUGGAGAAGUAUGGAGCAAAAUGCAGGCAGAAGAGUUUCCAGGCCAGCAUUGCUGGCUGAGAAAGAUGAGGUCCCACAGUGUCACUCCUGUGAGCCUCUUCCUGGCAAGCUGGGUGAGAGAAGGAAAGACACAAAAGCUCCAGAGAGAGGAUGAAGGAGAUGCAGGUUGACACAAAGCCCUGGGAGAGGAGGAAUGCCCUGGGGGGUU